AUUGAACGCUGGCGGCAUGCCUUACACAUGCAAGUCGAACGGCAGCGGACCUUCGGGUGCCGGCGAGUGGCGAACGGGUGAGUAAUAUAUCGGAACGUACCUUUCAGUGGGGGAUAACGUAGCGAAAGUUACGCUAAUACCGCAUAUUCUGUGAGCAGGAAAGCAGGGGAUCGCAAGACCUUGCGCUGAUUGAGCGGCCGAUAUCAGAUUAGCUAGUUGGUGAGGUAAAGGCUCACCAAGGCGACGAUCUGUAGCGGGUCUGAGAGGAUGAUCCGCCACACUGGAACUGAGACACGGUCCAGACUCCUACGGGAGGCAGCAGUGGGGAAUUUUGGACAAUGGGCGCAAGCCUGAUCCGGCCAUGCCGCGUGAGUGAAGAAGGCCUCGGUU
rnacentral:rRNA from 1 species